GGGAAUAUAGCUCAGUUGUAGAGUGCUUGCCUUGCAUGCAGAAGGCCCUGGGUUCAAUCCCAGAACCACCA
rnacentral:tRNA from 1 species